rnacentral:rRNA from 1 species
AUACGGAGGGUGCAAGCGUUAUUCGGAAUCACUGGGCGUAAAGGACGCGUAGGCGGGUUGGCAAGUCAGAUGUGAAAUCCUACAGCUUAACUGUAGAACUGCAUUUGAAACUGCUAACCUAGAGUAUGGGAGGGGGAGAUGGAAUUAGUGGUGUAGGGGUAAAAUCCGUAGAUAUCACUAGGAAUACCGAAAGCGAAGGCGAUCUCCUGGAACAUAACUGACGCUAAGGCGCGAAAGCGAGGGGAGCAAACAGGAUUAGAAACCCUAGUAGUCC